rnacentral:rRNA from 1 species
GUGGGGAAUCUUGCGCAAUGGGCGAAAGCCUGACGCAGCCAUGCCGCGUGAAUGAUGAAGGUCUUAGGAUUGUAAAAUUCUUUCACCGGGGACGAUAAUGACGGUACCCGGAGAAGAAGCCCCGGCUAACUUCGUGCCAGCAGCCGCGGUAAUACGAAGGGGGCUAGCGUUGCUCGGAAUUACUGGGCGUAAAGGGCGCGUAGGCGGACAGCUUAGUCAGAGGUGAAAGCCCAGGGCUCAACCUUGGACUUGCCUUUGAUACUGGCUGUCUUGAGUUUGGGAGAGGUGAGUGGAACUCCGAGUGUAGAGGUGAAAUUCGUAGAUAUUCGGAAGAACACCAGUGGCGAAGGCGACUCACUGGCCCAAUACUGACGCUGAGGCGCGAAAGCGUGGGGAGCAAACAGGAUUAGAAACCCCGGUAGUCC